rnacentral:rRNA from 1 species
AGAGUUUGAUCAUGGCUCAGGACGAACGCUGGCGGCGUGCCUAAUACAUGCAAGUAGAACGCUGAAGAAAGGAGCUUGCUUCUUUUGGAUGAGUUGCGAACGGGUGAGUAACGCGUAGGUAACCUGCCUUGUAGCGGGGGAUAACUAUUGGAAACGAUAGCUAAUACCGCAUAACAGCUUUUGACACAUGUUAGAAGCUUGAAAGAUGCAAUUGCAUCACUACGAGAUGGACCUGCGUUGUAUUAGCUAGUAGGUAGGGUAACGGCCUACCUAGGCGACGAUACAUAGCCGACCUGAGAGGGUGAUCGGCCACACUGGGACUGAGACACGGCCCAGACUCCUACGGGAGGCAGCAGUAGGGAAUCUUCGGCAAUGGGGGCAACCCUGACCGAGCAACGCCGCGUGAGUGAAGAAGGUUUUCGGAUCGUAAAGCUCUGUUGUAAGAGAAGAACGUGUGUGAGAGUGGAAAGUUCACACAGUGACGGUAACUUACCAGAAAGGGACGGCUAACUACGUGCCAGCAGCCGCGGUAAUACGUAGGUCCCGAGCGUUGUCCGGAUUUAUUGGGCGUAAAGCGAGCGCAGGCGGUUUAAUAAGUCUGAAGUUAAAGGCAGUGGCUUAACCAUUGUUCGCUUUGGAAACUGUUAAACUUGAGUGCAGAAGGGGAGAGUGGAAUUCCAUGUGUAGCGGUGAAAUGCGUAGAUAUAUGGAGGAACACCGGUGGCGAAAGCGGCUCUCUGGUCUGUAACUGACGCUGAGGCUCGAAAGCGUGGGGAGCAAACAGGAUUAGAUACCCUGUAGUCCACGCCGUAAACGAUGAGUGCUAGGUGUUAGGCCCUUUCCGGGGCUUAGUGCCGCAGCUAACGCAUUAAGCACUCCGCCUGGGGAGUACGACCGCAAGGUUGAAACUCAAAGGAAUUGACGG